AUGUGCAUGAAUUCAAAAUAUGAAGGAUGGAAGAAUUUGGAUGAGGUUAGAAGGAGCACAGCAGAAUCUGUGUGCACUACAAGAAAAAUGGCACUUAUCGACGGAAUUCUUCCCACAGAAUCAUUUCUGUCGGAAAAGUAUUAGUUUCCAACGGAAAUUUUUGGCAAAUAAUAUUCCGUCGAAAAUGUUUAUGUUAUUGACGGAAUUUUCCGACAAAAAGCAUUCCUUUGGAAAACCUUUGUUAUCAAUGGAUUGUGGCCCAUGGAUUUGGGUUUGUCGAAAAUAAUUCCCAAGAUAAGGAAGCAACCCUAAUGCCGUCCCUUUUUUCACUUCACAUUGACUCUAAUCUCACUCACUCUUCAACGCCCCGAGUCCGCAUCCCCCCGCUGUUGCAGCCACCAGGUCGUUGUCGCACACGCCGCACCACCUUCGCGUUAGCUGCUGCAAAGUUGCUUUCGUGGCUGUCGUCACCUAAAAUACAGGCAUUGUUUUCCACGGAUACACUUCAGAUCAAAGGAGGACAGCCUCCCUUCCCGCGACUGCUCAAGGUUUACCAAUCUAGGGUUUUUCUCUUUCUUCCCUAAUGGCGGCAUGCCCAGAUGGCAGCACCAACGACUUAGCCACCACAGGUUUCUCCAACUCGCUUCAAGUCAAUGUUCAACAUCUGUUGCAACCUGCCUGAUGCAAUCUUAUCCCGCAAGGGCAUUGGAUAGAAGACUCCAAGAAGAUUGGGCUAGAGAUGCAAGAGAAGGCCUUAGGGUUCUCAUAAGUCUUAAGGUAGAUUUCGGGU